rnacentral:rRNA from 1 species
AGCAGCCGCGGUAAUUCCAGCCCCAAUAGCGUAUAUUAAAGUUGUUGCAGUUAAAAAGCUCGUAGUUGAAUUUCGGGAUCAAUAUAUCGGUCAUGCUUAGGUAUGUACUGGUAUUAUUGAUUUCUCCCUUCUGAAGAACCAUGAUGUCAUUAAUUUGAUGUCGUGGGGAAUCAGGACUGUUACUUUGAAAAAAUUGAGUGUUUAAAGCAGGCAUACGCUUGAAUACAUUAGCAUGGAAUAAUGAAAUAGGACGUUUGAUUCUAUUUUGUUGGUUUCUAGGAUCGACGUAAUGAUUAAUAGGGAUAGUUGGGGGCAUUAGUAUUCAAUUGUCAGAGGUGAAAUUCUUGGAUUUAUUGAAGACUAACUACUGCGAAAGCAUUUGCCAAGGAUGUUUUCAUUAAUCAAGAACGA